rnacentral:lncRNA from 1 species
CAGGGCCGCACCCGCAGCAUAUGGAAGUUCCCAGGUUAGGAGUCGAAUCAGAGCUGCAGCUGCCAGCCUACCUACCCACAGCCACAGCAACACAGGAUGUGAGCUGUGUCUGGGACCUACACACAGCUCCCAGCAAUGCCAGAUCCUUAACCCACUGAGUGAGGCCAAGGAUCAAACCCGAAUCCUCAAGGAUACUAGUCGGAUUCAUUUCUGCUGUGCCACAAUGGGAACCCCCAGUAAUUUUCUUUAUCACAAAAAAAAGAACCUAUCAUCCAGGUGUGGUUAGAUGGGUCAGCAAUGAUACACCUGGAUGCUGGGGGACAUAAGAGGGCUUUCCCUGCAGUGGGGCUGGGUGGGCACCUGUGUGUGGUCCCAGCGCAUGCACCUUCCUGCUAGUAGUCACUUGGGAGCAUCAUCGUGAGGAAACAUGCACGGGGCAGGCCUAGAUGAGCCCCUAGGAAUGGGCCACAUGUGGCCAUGGCUGGAGGACAGCCUUCACACAUGCACGCACACAUGCACACACGCAUGUGCACUCACACGUGAUGAGUUAGGCAAGUAAUACUUCAGCUUUAGGUCAGCAGCUUUCUGAGGGAAAAAUAAAAUAAAAUAGCCUGCUCAGAGGCUGGAUGGCAACCUGAGCAGAGCUAGGAUCCUGGGGCCUGACCAGCAGUCCUGCCAGAGCUGGCCCUGCUCCGUGCUGUGCAAGAAUGGGUGUGGCACUAAAUACCCAGGAAGGGGGGUCUCCUGAGGACUCCAGGAGCCUGGUGUGGUCUGCUUCACUGGUGGCAAUGGCACCUCCAUGGACGCAACCUAACACCUUUGUGUCGUGCUUACUUCCAAGGGUGUUGGGACAGUGGUUGGUGGGGGGAGUCCGGAUUUCCUCAGGCUGCAAAGCCCACCUGGGGAACCCCAAUCAAAUCCAGGGCUUUGGGUCUGGACAAGCUGAGUUGGGAGCCCCAGAUCCUGUCUCAAGCCACCCAGGGCCCCGACAGGUCAUCCAGCCUGCCAAUUUCCAGCCUGACCUCAUUCCUUCGGUCAGAGUGUGCGUGAACACACUAUGCAGGCUGGAUGAUUCAUGAUUCACUGGUUUAAUUAAAGUUUCAUAUGUAUUUUUAAUGCACUGCCUGUGGCCUAAACCAGCUGACCUUCCCUAGGGCCCUGUCAGGAUAGUUUAGGUGGGUCCUUCUGGGCCAGUUGUCACGGGAGGAGACGGAAGGCCCAUCCUAGCUAUUGCUGAAAGGGGCCCAGGUUUCAGUGUAGGCCUCUUACCCCGAGCCUAUGGCCUCACUGCCUGUCUCUGAUCUAUAAGAGCACAGGGGGCCUGAGAGAGAGAGGGGCAGGUGUUGGGAGAUGUCGGUCACAGUCUGGGACAAGGCAGCAAAAUGCUGUGUGACCUGAAACAGGAGUGGAACCUCUCUGGGCACUGACUUCCUUAUCUAUGGAAAGAAGGAAGCAACCUCCAGCCACUGAAUCCUAAUUCUAGGCCAGAUCAUCUGUUGGGACCACUGCUAGUUCAAGGCAAUAGAUGUGAAUUUUUGUUCCCCAGACCCACACCUUUUUUUUUGGCUGGUGGGCCUGCUGUUCCUGGGGCAUCUGUGAAGGAGAGCUCACCAAGCAAAGCCGUGUAACCUGGCUGGGAAAUCUGAGUUCACAUGCUUCACAUGCCUCUCAUUUGAGAUGAGGAGAUGAAGCUCCUGAGAGCCUGUCACCCAGUGAGCAGCUGACACAGCUGGGCCUGGAACCAGGCUCAGCCAGCUGACCACUGAUCACAUCCGGCCAAGUGUCCUUCUCCCUCUGCUGGGCUGGAGUGGCCUCCUAGCGCCCCUUCCCUCAGGACCAGGGCUUGUUAUUCAUUUAGUUAACCUUUCAUCUAACAAACAUUUAUGGAGCCGUCUACUUUGUGCCAGCAUGCCGAGGGUUCAGCAGCUCCCAGCCCAUCCCCACCCAGCUCCCAGCCCGUCCCCACCCAGCAAGAUGCUGGCAGAGGCCAGAACUUCAUUUGCUCCUUUAAUUUGAGCAAAUGUGAGCGCUGAGGAAAUGCCCUUUAGUGGGAGCUGCAUCCUUGGUGUAUAAGGCAGUGUUCCCUUGCAAAGACAGACACAUGCCCCACCACAUUUUCUGUCCCGGGAGAGUAGGACAGGGCUUAAUUACCUGCCACAUUCCCAUCACAAGUGAGGAAACUGAGGCUCCAGGCAGGUGGAAGAUGGAAGCAAGGACACAUGUUGGGUGCUGAGAGGACAACCCUGUCCCCUCGGCAUGCCUGGCACAAAGUAGACUGCUCCAUAAGUGUUUGUUAGAUGAAAGGUUAACUAAAUGAAUAACAAGAAAAUUGCUAAGCAAAGAACUUACUAUUCAAAUUCCUAGUAAUAUGAUUAACUAUAAUUCUCAAUCCUGCCUCGUUAAUAAUAAUUGGGGAUGAUAAUAAUUCCAUUAUCAUCCCCACUUAGAGGCGAGAAAUAUGAGGCACAGAGAGGUUAAGCAAUGGUCCCAGGCCACAGAGCUGGGAUUUGUGUCCAGAGUUCAUGCUCUCAGCACCUUGCAGAGCUCUCUGUGUAGAGUCCAGGACAGCACUUGCCAGGAGAACUUGGUGACGCUGGGGAUGUUCUGUAUUAGCACCCUUCAGGAUGGUGGCCACGAGCCACAUGUGCUACUGAGAUCUUGAAAUGUGGCUGGUGUGGCUUGUGACUGCCCACUGGGGAGGGAGAGCAGCCCACCCGACGUCUAGCAGUGGGCUCACAGGGCUGCUGAGUGAUGGUUCAAUGAACAGCCCAGAGUCUUGAACCUCAAGAGACUCGCAGCCUCAGAGGCCACAUUGUUCUACUUCUUCACACAGAAGGGAGAUAGAGUGGAGCGAGAGAGAGGGGACUGCAGGGACCCAGGCUCAUGCAGCAGUCAGCGAGGACCCACAGGCCAGGUCCCCUUCUCAUAUCCACGCCCGUGCCCUCCAGUCCCUGUUCCUCCUGAUCCUCCCUCCCUUCCUUCAUGAAGCAAUAAUAAUGGGUCAUGUCUCCCAGUUGCAGGACGGGAGAAGCCCUGUCACGCCCUAACACUGCAGGCUAGGUUUAUCCCCCAAUCCAGCCAACUUUUGGUGGUCCAGACUGAGACCCCUCACUUUUGCGCCAAUCGAUGGCAAAGCCCUCAUCCCUGCCGGGUGCUCGGCUGGGAGGCUGCUGCCCUGUUGUCAGCUGGUGUGCUCAGGGAGCAAAGGCUCAUUUUAAUAUUGGCUGGAACUAAACCUCAUUAGAAAAGUAAAUUUGCUCUAGCUGAAAAAAAAAAAAAAAAAAAAGCAACCCACACAAUCCUUCUUUCCAUAGCUAAAUAGAAAACCUGAUCUGAUUUUGGAUUGUUUGAUGCUUUAUGUUCCUGGCACUGACCCAGAGCCUGGAACACAGUAGGUGCUCAGUGAAUGUGUGCAGAAAUAGGAUGUUGAUUGAUCUCCGCCUGCCGUGCCAUCUUCCAGCAUGGAUACCAAGAGACCACCAGUCCGGCGUUCUUGUCAGUUGCAUGGAUUUUUUUGAACAACCACCACUGUCUGGUAAGUGCAGUGAUCACACUGACCACUGAUUAGACAAGGAAACCACGUUGCUGCUGUUCUUCGGCAAGGGGACACUGAGUGCGUCUUAAAACAGAGGACUCCGCAGGGGAGUCUGAUGGGAGAGAUGGCAACAACGCCAGUGUGACUGGCCCUGGGGUUGGCCAGAGAAUUGCCACUCCAAAUUCUAGAGCCAUCCAGGUCUGGGAGGAUGUGGGGAGUGGAGCAAAUACACACUGUACAGUAACAUCCAUCGAGCACUUUACCUACAAACAGCCUGGCAGAAGAGGGGCCCUGGGUUUACAAGCCUUCGGGAAAUCAGGUUUGGAGGGCUCAGCUUUUCCCCAAGUCCACCCAGCUGGUCACAGACGGACCGACGCAGCCCUGGCCUGGCUGACAUGUACCUUGAAUGGCACCACCUCCACUCCCCCACCCCAUGCUCUCCCCAGGGUCCCCAAAGGCUGCUGGCCUGAAGGCUUGGGGGUUCAGGAAGGACGUUUUCCUUGUCCUUUCCCUCAGGUGCCAGGGAAGGUCCACGCCCUUCCCUUCCCCAGCCCACUGUACCCCAGGGCCAAGAAGGGUGUGGGGUAGGCGUCUGGAGAUUGAGAAAGCCCUCAGCACGGGAGAAUGGGCCCAGGGAAGAAGGUUCCCCAGAGCAACCCUGAUCUCACAGCCUGUCCCCUCUCUGCCUUUGGGCCUCCCUCUGAACCCCACAUUCGUCCUCAGGAAGCUGUCCCCAGCUCCACCGAGGGCCUCUUGCUGUGGCCAAUAGCUGCCGCCACUGGGCAUCUGGAAGGAGGCCCGGGGGGGGGGGGGGGGGGGGGGGGGGGGGGGGGGGGGGGCUCCACUGCACGGCUGGGUUCCUGGUCCUCCGCUCUGUGAGCCGCCUCUGUGUCUUUGUCUGCUGUCUCUCGCGCUGCUCGGCCUGCCUCAGACUCAAAGCUUCCCUCACUUCCUGAGCCGUGCCUCUCUCCCUGCUCGGUUCUCAGCAGAGGGGAGCUCUCAGACCAAGCUGAACCAACAUGCUCCCUGAUCCCAGAGCCUGGCUCCCGCACCCUCCCCCUUGCAAAGCUUCUGCCCUGUCUUAUCACCCUGUGCUCACGACCAGAGAAGUACAGACAACUGGGUACCCUCACCC